rnacentral:lncRNA from 1 species
UUACCUUCUGUUACAUGUUAUACCUUGAAUAUCUGAAAAGAUCCGCAUUACAGAUCACAGUUCACUCUGACAGUUCUUCAUCUGACUAUCAAUGUUAGAGAACAACAGGAGACAUCAACCAUUUUGUACAAAGAGUGUAAAUUUGCAGAAAUACUACAGUUUUGGUGCAGAUACUAUGUAGAAAAUUAUGAUGGAACAGAAAUUACAAAAGAAGGAAGCUGGGAGAAGAAUUCUGAAAAAUCCAAAUAAAUUGCCCGUUCGUGUGAACAAAGAAAAUGUGCAGUUACACGAGUGCGCACCACCACACAGCACGGCACGGGCAGAGCCGAGGAUUGUCUACUUCGGAGCGACAGGUCUCCGGCACCUUCCGU